GACGAACGCUGGCGGCGUGCUUAACACAUGCAAGUCGAACGGUAAGGCCCUUCGGGGUACACGAGUGGCGAACGGGUGAGUAACACGUGGGUGAUCUGCCCUGCACUUCGGGAUAAGCCUGGGAAACUGGGUCUAAUACCGGAUAGGACCACUGCCUGCAGGGGUGGUGGUGGAAAGCUUUUGCGGUGUGGGAUGGGCCCGCGGCCUAUCAGCUUGUUGGUGGGGUGAUGGCCUACCAAGGCGACGACGGGUAGCCGGCCUGAGAGGGUGACCGGCCACACUGGGACUGCGAUACGGCACAGACUCCUACGGGAGGCAGCAGUGGGGAAUAUUGCACAAUGGGCGCAAGCCUGAUGCAGCGACGCCGCGUGAGGGAUGACGGCCUUCGGGUUGUAAACCUCUUUCAGCACCGACGAAGCGCAAGUGACGGUAGGUGCAGAAGAAGGACCGGCCAACUACGUGCCAGCAGCCGCGGUAA
rnacentral:rRNA from 1 species